rnacentral:piRNA from 1 species
UGGGAUAGUGAGGUGUCAGCAUCCAGGCCUU